UUAAUUGAAACCAAAAAGAGGUAUAUUAUUGUUAAUAAUAAAAUUGAAUGAAAUAUUCCAAUUAAG
rnacentral:tRNA from 1 species